rnacentral:rRNA from 1 species
GUCCACGCCCUAACGAUGUCAACUGGUUGUUGGUCUUAACUGACUCAGUAACGAAGCUAACGCGUGAAGUUGACCGCCUGGGAGUACGGCCGCAAGGUUGAACUCAAGGAAUUGACGGGACCCGCACAAGCGGUGGAUGAUGUGGUUUAAUUCGAUGCAACGCGAAACCUUACCACCUUUGACAUGUACGGAAGGAUCCAGAGAUGGAUUUGUGCUCGAAAGAGAACCGUAACACAGGUGCUGCAUGGCUGUCGU